UUUUUUAAUGGUUGACCUCGGAUCAGGUAGGAAUACCCGCUGAACUUAAGCAUAUCAAUAGGCGGAGGAAAA
rnacentral:rRNA from 1 species